GGGUACAAUGGGCAUUUAUCGUCACCCCCGAGGUGCGUGUGUUUGUGUUUAUUCAAAUCUCUGUACCAAGAGCGGAGGGCCCCACUCUGGAGCGUUCUCUGUCGGUGACACGGACGCACCGGCGCUUAUUGUCAGAGGAGCCCCAGAAAAGGGCCACCACAUCGGGCUGCGGGGAGGAGGAGGAGGAGGAGCGGCGGCAGGAGGAGGAGGAGGAGGGACAGGAGCGCUAAGCCUUCCGCUCUCACCCGCGGAGCGUCGUGCCUCUCUGCCCGCCUCCCCGGCUCCUCCUCGCCGCUGCAGGAGCCUCCCGUCCCCACUUUCCGCUGCUGGAAGGGACGGCGGCGGAGCAGGUGCGCGGCGCAGAGCAGCGGGACGUUGGCGCUUUUAGCGGCUGUUUCUGUUGGGAAAAGGCGCAGCUGGAAAAAAGAAGCGCAGCUGCGCGGCAGUUGCAUCUUUUUUGGAGCUUUUUCUUUUUUUUUUUCCAGAAGGAGGAGGAGGGGGGAAGAUGGAUGGAUGGAUGGAUGAAGGGAGGGAUGGAAGAGAGAAAUGCGUCGUAACAGGUGCAGAGAUGGCGAUGAGGAGUUUGUCUCCACUCCGCAGGGGGCUGCUUCAGACGGAGGCGCAGGAGGAGGCCGAGCAGAUGAGUUUGAGGAGCGGUGAUGAAGUGGGAAGAAACUGGGAGAUUUUCUCCAACUUGCUGGAGUGAAACUGGGAUUUGUGGAGCAUGCAGGCCAGGCCCAGCUCCUGAAAAAGGUUUAUUGUCGCUCCGAUGGUGAGCUUUUGUUGCCGCCUUUUGUUGCCGUUUUGGGGAUUAUAAUUUGCAUAAUUCUGCAGGAAUGUAUCAUUUUAAUUUUCUUUAACAAACCGUGACCUUUUUUUUUUUCAAGCCCUUUAUCCUUUUUGGUAAAAGGCGCCAUUACAAGCCAAUAAAGACGGAACUCGUUUGUCCACAUUCUGCUCUUAAUGAAUAAUAAAGAUUUAUUAACCAAA